AGAGUUUGAUCCUGGCUCAGCCUGAACGCUGGCGGCGUGGCUAAGACAUGCAAGUCGCACGGUGUAGCAAUACACAGUGGCGAACGGGAGAGUAAUGAAUCGCUAACGUACCCCGGACUCUGGGAUAGCUACCCGAAAGGGUAGGUAAUACCAGAUAAUACGACCUUGUCGCAUGGCAGGGUUUUCAAAGGUCCGCCGGUCUGGGAGCGGGCGAUUUUGUAUCAGCUAGUUGGUGAGGUAACGGCUCACCAAGGCGACGACGCAUAGCCGGACUGAGAGGUUGGCCGGCCACAUUGGGACUGAGACACUGCCCAGACUCCUACGGGGGGCUGCAGUAACGAAUCUUCCGCAAUGUACGAAAGUAUGACGGAGCGACGCCGCGUGCAGGACGAAGCCCUUCGGGGUGUAAACUGCUGUCAGGGGUUAGAAAGUUCUGAUCAACCCCAGAGGAAGGCACGGCUAACUCUGUGCCAGCAGCCGCGGUAAUAC
rnacentral:rRNA from 1 species